GAUGAACGCUGGCGGCGUGCCUAAUACAUGCAAGUCGAGCGAACAGACGAGGAGCUUGCUCCUCUGACGUUAGCGGCGGACGGGUGAGUAACACGUGGAUAACCUACCUAUAAGACUGGGAUAACUUCGGGAAACCGGAGCUAAUACCGGAUAAUAUAUUGAACCGCAUGGUUCAAUAGUGAAAGACGGUUUUGCUGUCACUUAUAGAUGGAUCCGCGCCGCAUUAGCUAGUUGGUAAGGUAACGGCUUACCAAGGCAACGAUGCGUAGCCGACCUGAGAGGGUGAUCGGCCACACUGGAACUGAGACACGGUCCAGACUCCUACGGGAGGCAGCAGUAGGGAAUCUUCCGCAAUGGGCGAAAGCUUGACGGAGCAACGCCGCGUGAGUGAUGAAGGUCUUCGGAUCGUAAAACUCUGUUAUUAGGGAAGAACAAAUGUGUAAGUAACUAUGCACGACUUGACGGUACCUAAUCAGAAAGCCACGGCUAACUACGUG
rnacentral:rRNA from 1 species